GGGCCUGUGGUCUAGUAGCUAUGACAUCCGCCCGACUCGCGGAAGAUCGGGGGUGCGAGUCCCCUCGGGCCCA
rnacentral:tRNA from 1 species